rnacentral:lncRNA from 1 species
UGAGAACCGCUUGAUGGAGGUGGUCUUAAGUAUAAAGAAACAUAAUAUUAUAGGACAUAGAUAAAUAUUCACAAGUAUUUGGUUAUUGCUAUUUCAAACAGAUAUAUAAAUAUGAGUUGUUAAAUUAAGAUUUACUAAAUACCUGAUUUUAAAAUAUAUAAUUUAUAUUUCAGUUUUUGUACAUGUCAUAUUCAAUAAGUUUUAAAUAUUUUUUAAAAAAAAUCUUGUAUAGAAUUUUUACCCUCUAUAUUUAAAAAUAUAUUUAUCAUUAUAGUAGGUUACAACCCGUAUUAUAACAUGAGAUCAUU